rnacentral:rRNA from 1 species
AGAGUUUGAUCCUGGCUCAGGAUAAACGCUGGCGGUGUGCCUUAUGCAUGCAAGUCGAACGAGUUCUAGGGCUUCGGCUCUAGAGCAGUGGCGGACGGGUGAGUAACACGUACGUAACCUGUCCCGAAGUGGGGAAUAACUCCGCGAAAGCGGGGCUAAUACCGCAUAUGGUCGGCCGGUGCAAUACGGUUGACCAAAGCCUUCGGGCGCUUUGGGAGGGGCGUGCGGCCGAUUAGCUAGUUGGUGGGGUAACGGCUCACCAAGGCAACCAUCGGUAGCUGGUCUGAGAGGACGGCCAGCCACACGGGGACUGAGACACGGCCCCGACUCCUACGGGAGGCAGCAGCAAGGAAUUUUGCGCAAUGGGCGAAAGCCUGACGCAGCAACACCGCGUGGGGGAUGAAGGCCCUCGGGUCGUAAACCCCUUUUGCAGGGGAAGUAACUGACGGUACCCUGCGAAUAAGCCACGGCUAACUACGUGCCAGCAGCCGCGGUAAUACGUAGGUGGCAAGCGUUGUCCGGAUUUACUGGGCGUAAAGGGCGCGCAGGCGGCUCGUCAAGUCUGGGGUGAAAUCUCCCGGCUCAACCGGGAGAGGUCUCUGGAUACUGACGGGCUUGAGGGAAGCAGAGGAGAGCGGAAUUCCCGGUG